AAAUGAAUUGACGGGGGCCCGCACAAGCAGCGGAGCAUGUGGUUUAAUUCGAAGCAACGCGAAGAACCUUACCUAGACUUGACAUCUCCUGCAUUACCCUUAAUCGGGGAAGUUCCUUCGGGAACAGGAAGACAGGUGGUGCAUGGUUGUCGUCAGCUCGUGUCGUGAGAUGUUGGGUUAAGUCCCGCAACGAGCGCAACCCCUAUUGUUAGUUGCUACCAUUAAGUUGAGCACUCUAGCGAGACUGCCCGGGUUAACCGGGAGGAAGGUGGGGAUGACGUCAAAUCAUCAUGCCCCUUAUGUCUAGGGCUACACACGUGCUACAAUGGUCAGUACAAUGAGAUGCAAACUCGCGAGGGUGAGCAAAACUAUAAAACUGAUCUCAGUUCGGAUUGCAGGCUGAAACUCGCCUGCAUGAAGCUGGAGUUGCUAGUAAUCGCGAAUCAGAAUGUCGCGGUGAAUACGUUCCCGGGCCUUGUACACACCGCCCGU
rnacentral:rRNA from 1 species